rnacentral:rRNA from 1 species
AACGAACGCUGGCGGCAGGCCUAACACAUGCAAGUCGAGCGAUACCAGCAAUGGUGGAGCGGCAGACGGGUGAGUAACACGUGGGAACGUACCCUUCGGUUCGGAAUAACUCAGGGAAACUUGAGCUAAUACCGGAUACGUCCGAGAGGAGAAAGAUUUAUCGCCGAAGGAUCGGCCCGCGUCUGAUUAGCUAGUUGGUGAGGUAACGGCUCACCAAGGCGACGAUCAGUAGCUGGUCUGAGAGGAUGAUCAGCCACAUUGGGACUGAGACACGGCCCAAACUCCUACGGGUGGCAG